GCCCCGGUAGCUCAGUCGGUAGAGCACGUGCUUGGUAAGCACGAGGUCGCGGGUUCGAUUCCCGUCUGGGGCU
rnacentral:tRNA from 1 species